rnacentral:rRNA from 1 species
GACGAACGCUGGCGGCGCGCCUAACACAUGCAAGUCGAACGAGCGAGAGAGAGCUUGCUUUCUCAAGCGAGUGGCGAACGGGUGAGUAACGCGUGAGGAACCUGCCUCAAAGAGGGGGACAACAGUUGGAAACGACUGCUAAUACCGCAUAAGCCCACAGGUCGGCAUCGACCAGAGGGAAAAGGAGCAAUCCGCUUUGAGAUGGCCUCGCGUCCGAUUAGCUAGUUGGUGAGGUAACGGCCCACCAAGGCAACGAUCGGUAGCCGGACUGAGAGGUUGAACGGCCACAUUGGGACUGAGACACGGGCCAGACUCCUACGGGAGGCAGCAGUGGGGAAUAUUGCACAAUGGGGGAAACCCUGAUGCAGCGACGCCGCGUGGAGGAAGAAGGUCUUCGGAUUGUAAACUCCUGUUGUUGAGGAAGAUAAUGACGGUACUCAACAAGGAAGUGACGGCUAACUACGUG